rnacentral:rRNA from 1 species
GAUGAACGCUGGCGGCGUGCCUAAUACAUGCAAGUCGAGCGAACAGACGAGGAGCUUGCUCCUCUGACGUUAGCGGCGGACGGGUGAGUAACACGUGGAUAACCUACCUAUAAGACUGGGAUAACUUCGGGAAACCGGAGCUAAUACCGGAUAAUAUAUUGAACCGCAUGGUUCAAUAGUGAAAGACGGUUUUGCUGUCACUUAUAGAUGGAUCCGCGCCGCAUUAGCUAGUUGGUAAGGUAACGGCCUACCAAGGCGACGGUGCGUAGCCGACCUGAGAGGGUGAAUCGUCCAACUUGAACUGAGACCAGGGUCAGACCCCUAAGGGGGGCAGGAGUGGGGAAAUUUGCCCCAAUGGGCGAAGGCUUGACGGAGCAUCGCGGGGGGGUUAAGAAAGUUCUCCGAUUCGUAAAACUCUGUUAUUGGGAAAAAACAAAGUUGGAUGUAACCUUGCUCGUCUGGACGGUACCUAAGCAGAAAGCCACGCUUAAUUCGUG